rfam:Aedes albopictus isolate Foshan contig3464, whole genome shotgun sequence.
GCCUUCUGAACUCCUAUCCCUACCUCCUCGCGGUACCGGCCGGAAACUAUGAGCAACCUUAGGGAAGAUCGGGUAACCAACCCCGGUGGGAACUUUGGUCGUAGGCUGACAGGGAAGA